UGGGGAAUAUUGGACAAUGGGCGCAAGCCUGAUCCAGCCAUGCCGCGUGAGUGAUGAAGGCCCUAGGGUUGUAAAGCUCUUUUAGCGGGGAAGAUAAUGACGGUACCCGCAGAAAAAGCCCCGGCUAACUUCGUGCCAGCAGCCGCGGUAAUACGAAGGGGGCUAGCGUUGCUCGGAAUUACUGGGCGUAAAGCGCACGUAGGCGGACUCUUAAGUCGGUGGUGAAAUCCUGGAGCUCAACUCCAGAACUGCCUUCGAUACUGGGAGUCUUGAGUUCGGGAGAGGUGAGUGGAACUGCGAGUGUAGAGGUGAAAUUCGUAGAUAUUCGCAAGAACACCAGUGGCGAAGGCGGCUCACUGGCCCGAUACUGACGCUGAGGUGCGAAAGCGUGGGGAGCAAACA
rnacentral:rRNA from 1 species